UGGGGAAUAUUGCACAAUGGGCGCAAGCCUGAUGCAGCCAUGCCGCGUGUAUGAAGAAGGCCUUCGGGUUGUAAAGUACUUUCAGCGGGGAGGAAGGGAGUAAAGUUAAUACCUUUGCUCAUUGACGUUACCCGCAGAAGAAGCACCGGCUAACUCCGUGCCCGCAGCCGCGGUAAUACGGAGGGUGCAAGCGUUAAUCGGAAUUACUGGGCGUAAAGCGCACGCAGGCGGUUUGUUAAGUCAGAUGUGAAAUCCCCGGGCUCAACCUGGGAACUGCAUCUGAUACUGGCAAGCUUGAGUCUCGUAGAGGGGGGUAGAAUUCCAGGUGUAGCGGUGAAAUGCGUAGAGAUCUGGAGGAAUACCGGUGGCGAAGGCGGCCCCCUGGACGAAGACUGACGCUCAGGUGCGAAAGCGUGGGGAGCAAACA
rnacentral:rRNA from 1 species